rnacentral:rRNA from 1 species
UACGAAGGAUGCAAGCGUUAUCCGGAUUCAUUGGGUUUAAAGGGUGCGUAGGCGGACUAAUAAGUCAGUGGUGAAAUCUCUCAGCUUAACUGAGAAACUGCCAUUGAUACUGUUAGUCUAGAGUAUAGAUGACGUUGGCGGAAUAUGACAUGUAGUGGUGAAAUACUUAGAUAUGUCAUAGAACACCGAUUGCGAAGGCAGCUAACGAAACUAUAACUGACGCUGAGGCACGAAAGUGCGGGGAUCAAACAGG